rnacentral:rRNA from 1 species
CCUACGGGAGGCAGCAGUGGGGAAUAUUGCGCAAUGGGCGAAAGCCUGACGCAGCGACGCCGCGUGAGGGAUGAAGGUCUUCGGAUUGUAAACCUCUGUCAGCAGGGAAGAACGGUCACUGUGCUAAUCAGCAGUGAAUUGACGGUACCUGCAAAGGAAGCACCGGCUAACUCCGUGACAGCAGCCGAGGUAAUACGGAGGGUGCGAGCGUUAAUCGGAAUUACUGGGCGUAAAGCGCUCGUAGGCGGUAUGUCAAGUCAAGGGGGAAAUCCCCGGGCUCAACGUAGGAACUGCCUUUGAAACUGGCAAACUGGAGUGUGUGAGAGGGAAGUGGAAUUCCUGGUGUAGGAGUGAAAUGCGUAGAUAUCUGGAGGAACAUCAGUGGCGAAGGCGGCUUUCUGGCCCAUAACUGACGCUGAGGAGCGAAAGCGUGGGUAGCAAACAGGAUUAGAUACCCGGGUAGUC